rnacentral:rRNA from 1 species
CACGUAGGCACCAAGCGUUGUCCGGAUUUAUUGGGUUUAAAGGGUGCGUAGGCGGCCCGUUAAGUCAGUGGUGAAAGCCUCCAGCUCAACUGGAGUACUGCCAUUGAUACUGGCGGGCUUGAGUACAGACGAGGUUGGCGGAAUUGAUUGUGUAGCGGUGAAAUGCAUAGAUACAAUCAAGAACACCGAUUGCGUAGGCAGCUAACUAGGCUGUAACUGACGCUGAGGCACGAAAGCGUGGGGAGCGAACAGG